rnacentral:lncRNA from 1 species
GGGCUAAAGGUGUAGGGCAAGUGGGAAGGGUGGGGGAAAGGUAAUAAGGGAGAUGGAAAAAAUAUGAGAAACUGAAAAAAUUGAAACAAAGUGUUUGUAAAUGGGGAGGGGAGGAGGGGGUAAAGGGAGGGCAGGGACAAGAGGAAAAAAUGAGAAUCAAGACCUAUUAUGUAAAGGUACAGAAUCCCAAUGAUGAAUGUAACUGUAUUGUAUACCUGGAUUGUACCAAUAAACUCAAUUAAAAAAGCAUAUUAGAGUUUUCUGUGCUAAUUUUAAAGAAUUAACAUUAAAUUUUAGUGAACUUCAUACUGUACAAGAAAGAAAUACACCUGAGUGUCGCAUUUUUCUGCUAUUUAGCUCACACACCCAAUUACAUUGUUGAUACCCAUGUUUAGACUAUAUUUUCACAUUUAAUAUACAGACUAGGCUUCUGGAUACCGUGAAGUAGAUGGCGAAUUAUUAAUUUUAAUUCGUAAAUAAAAAGCAAUGGUGCUCCGAAUUAGGGAAGUGUCUUGUGCUUUGUUCAGUCAAAGUCCCUGAGCGGAGAUGAGCAGGAACAACAGAGAUGAGUGAGUGGGGCUCAGUGGGGCUCCAGGUUCAGAGAAUCACCCAUCCCGACCCAUCGGUUCCACAGCUUUGGGCCUUCCGGGAGAAUAAUCAUAGAAACAACAGAAUAAUGGAACCUUUGGAUAUUGAAUGCCCCACGGAUAUAAUGUCUGCAGGGGCCAGCCAGGGGAAACGUCACAAAACAUUACUGCUCCGAUGAGAAAGCAACCAUUGAACCUCCUCCCAUCAAUGACACUUCCCGUCCAGUAUCUGCUUUUCCUGAGGACACAUCAUCCAUCCGCAAUAUUCAUGUACAACGAUCAACCGUCUUCAAUACUCAGAUCAGAUCAUCAACACAUGGAAUCUAGAAA